UACGUAGGGAGCUAGCGUUGUUCGGAAUUACUGGGCUAAAGCGUGCGCAGGCGGUCUGUUAAGACCGAUGUGAAAUCCCCGGGCUUAACCUGGGAACUGCAUUGGUGACUGGCAGGCUUUGAGUGUGGCAGAGGGAGGUGGGAAUUCCACGUAUAGCAGUGAAAUGCGUAGAGAUGUGGAGGAAUACCGAUGGCGAAGGCAGCCUCCUGGGCCAACACUGACGCUCAUGCACGAAAGCGUGGGGAGCAAACAGG
rnacentral:rRNA from 1 species